CAGGGGGGAAAUGGCGGGAAAAGGCAGGGGGAUGGCGGGAAAAGGGAGGAUGGCGGGGAAAAGGGGGGAAAUGGCGGGAAAAAUGGGGGAUAUGGCGGGAAAAGUGGGAGGGAGGAAGAGGAGGCGGAGAGGAAGAAAUUCGGGGGGAAAAAUGAGGAAAAAAUGGGGAAAAAUGGGGAAAAAAGGGGGAAAAUUGAGAGUGAGGAAGAUGAGGAGGAAGAGGAAGGGGAGAGGGGGAAAAUUGGGGUGAGUAAAGGGAAAAUUGGGGAAAAAUCUGGGAAAUUUGGGAAAACUGAGGAGGAAAAAGGGGGAAAAUGGGAAAAAUUGGGGGGGAAAAGGAGGAAAAUUGAGAGUGAGGAGGAGGAAGAGGAGGAGGAAGAGCCAGACCGAAAAAACCGGAAAAAAACGGGGAAAAAUGAGGAAAAAAGGCAAAAAAUGACCCAAAAAUUGGGCAAAAAAUCGAAAUUUGAGAGCGAGGAAGAGGAGGAGGAAGAUGAGGAGGAAGAAGCAAGCAGGAAAAAUGGGAAAAAGCCGGGAAAAUUUGAGGGAAAAAGGCAAAAAGUGACCCAAAAAUUGGCCAAAAAAUCGAAAUUUGAGAGUGAGGAAGAGGAGGAUGAAGAGGAUGAGGAAGAUGAGGAAGAAGAGGAAGAUCCAGGCAGGAAAAAUUGGAAAAAAAGGGGGAAAAUAGAGGAAAAAUCCCAAAAAAUGACCCAAAAAUUGGGCAAAAAAUCCAAAUUUGAGAGUGAGGAAGAGGAGGAUGAAGAUGAGGAGGAAGAAGAGGAAGAUCCAGGCAAGAAAAACAGGAAAAAAACAGGAAAAAUGGAGGAAAAAAGGCCAAAAGUGACCCAAAAAUUGG
rnacentral:lncRNA from 1 species